GGCAAAGAUGAUAAUGCUUCUUUAUUUCUGACACCUCUUGUAUGAGAAGAACCUUCAAAAAGUUCUUCCUUGAGCACAUUAAGCAACCCUCUAAGCC